GGGGUUGUAAUGGUUUCGACGGGGCAUAAGGAAGGUGACUGAAGCCGGCUCGGUUAGAGCAAAAACACAAAUGCUAACAAAAUCGUUAGUUUCUCCCGUCAGGCCGCACCAGUUGCUGCUUGAUCCUAACGGAGAUGGGGUUAUAUCAGCCUUAUCAACCAAAUGAUACGAGGAGUCUGGAAGGACUCCACUUUU
rnacentral:tmRNA from 1 species